GAUGAACGCUAGCGGCAGGCUUAAUACAUGCAAGUCGAGGGGCAGCGGGAGUAGCAAUACUUGCCGGCGACCGGCGCACGGGUGCGUAACACGUAUACAAUCUGCCUCUUACAGGGGGCUAGCUCGGAGAAAUUCGAAUUAAUACCCCAUAACAAAUUUAACGGCAUCGUUAGAUUUUAAAAGUUCCGACGGUAAGAGAUGAGUAUGCGACUGAUUAGCUAGUUGGUGAGGUAACGGCUCACCAAGGCUACGAUCAGUAGGGGAUCUGAGAGGACUAACCCCCACACUGGUACUGAGACAAGGUCCAGACUCCUACGGGAGGCAGCAGUAAGGAAUAUUGGACAAUGCCCGCAAGGGUGAUCCAGCCAUGCCGCGUGCAGGAAGAAGGUCCUAUGGAUUGUAAACUGCUUUUGAGCUAGAGAAAACCCCUCUACGUGUAGAGGGCUGAUAGUAUAGCUAGAAUAAGCAUCGGCUAACUUCGUGCCAGCCGCCGCGGUAACAC
rnacentral:rRNA from 1 species